GAUGAAGAACGUAGCGAAAUGCGAUACGUAGUGUGAAUUGCAGAAUUCAGUGAAUCAUCGAAUCUUUGAACGCACAUUGCACCUCUCGGUAUUCCGGGAGGUAUGCCUGUUCGAGCGUCAUUUGUACCCUCAAGCUCUGCUUGGUGUUGGGUGCUUGUUCCGCCUCUGUGUGUGAACUCGCCUCAAAACAAUUGGCAGCCGGCGUACUUGUUUCGGAGCGCAGCACAUUUUGCGAUCCAGAUCAACGUACAGCGGCAUCCAAGAAGCCUUAUUUAACGCUCUUGACCUCGGAUCAGGUAGGGAUACCCGCUGAACUUAAGCAUAUCAAUAAGCGGAGGA
rnacentral:misc_RNA from 1 species